AAUACAGGUGCAGGCUAAAUUAGAAUUUCAGAUAAACAACACAUUUUUUUAGCAUUAAGCAUAUCCUAUGCAAUAUAUGGGACAUACUUAUGCUAAAACCGUAUUGGUUGCUUAUUACAAAUUGAAAUUUAACCGGGCACCCUGUAUUGU
rnacentral:miRNA from 1 species